UGGGGAAUUUUGGACAAUGGGCGCAAGCCUGAUCCAGCCAUGCCGCGUGCGGGAAGAAGGCCUUCGGGUUGUAAACCGCUUUUGUCAGGGAAGAAAUCUUCUGAGUUAAUACCCCGGGAGGAUGACGGUACCUGAAGAAUAAGCACCGGCUAACUACGUGCCAGCAGCCGCGGUAAUACGUAGGGUGCAAGCGUUAAUCGGAGUUACUGGGCGUAAAGCGUGCGCAGGCGGUUUUGUAAGACAGAGGUGAAAUCCCCGGGCUCAACCUGGGAACUGCCUUUGUGACUGCAAGGCUUGAGUGCGGCAGAGGGGGGAUGGAAUUCCGCGUGUAGGCAGUGAAAAUGCGUAGAUAUGCGGAGGAACACCGAUGGCGAAGGCAAUCCCCUGGGCUGCACUGACGCUCAUGCACGAAAAGCGUGGGGGAGCAAAACAGGAUUAGAUACCCCUGGUAGUCCACGCCCUAAAACGAUGUCAACUGGUUGUUGGGGAAGGUUCCUUCUCAGUAACGUAGCUAACGCGUGAAGUUGACCGCCUGGGGAGUACGGCCGCAAGGUUGAAACUCAAAGGAAUUGACGGGGUCAUAGCUGUUUCCU
rnacentral:rRNA from 1 species